CAUCCCAGCCGAACCAGUCAGCAAGGCCGAGCUGUGUACCGGAUCGAUCCACGGAUGGACGGACAGGAGCUUAGACUGGAUCCUCGACCGUUCGACCAAACUGACCGUACCAGAUCAUCUCUCUCCCGGACAACUCGCAAUCUCAGACGGACGGUCAAGUCGUACAAGGAACUGGACGCGACUUCUCUCUUCUCGCCCGUUUGGAACGUACCGACCGU
rnacentral:lncRNA from 1 species